UUGUGUUCCUGCUCUCGCUAUCUCUGUCUCUGUCAAAUAAAUAAAUAAAAUCUUUAAAAAAAUAAAAUAAAAUGUUGGUUGUAACCUUCUAAAUUUAUUUCUUACUGUUCUGCUUGGUGGUAACCCAUAGUUUGAAAAACACUGGUCUAGUACAUAGUUUACAGAAUACUUCAUAUACUCUCUGUUUUCACAGCAGUCCCCUGAGGUAGCGUAUGACCUUUUUAUUUUUACGGAUGACGAGAAUCAGAGAUGUUAAGUGACUCGUUCAAGUUUGCACUGCCAAUACUUGGCAAAGUCAGAAUUUGAGCUUGAGUCCUAGGUUUUGACUCCAGCUCUACUGCCCCUUUGGUUGCAUCUGAUUCAAACUACUUCCUUUCUCCUUCCUAUUCUCACCCCCUCUUCCCUACCACAACUGUAGGGAAUAAUACCAGCUUAAACCACAUAAUUGGGUAAAUCCAGCUUCCUCAGUUAACAUACCUGCACUGUCCCCAGUCCUAUCGCUUGUCAUUCGAGGUCUUAGAAGUUCUGGAUUUCUUCUCCACCCUGUAUCAGUGGUUCUCAAGCCUGGAGAUAUAUCAGUGUCAGUCAGCUGUGGAAUUUAAUAUUCAGAUCUCUGGGCCUCCAGCAGUGAAUCUGAUUUGGUAGAUCUGGGGUGGAGUUUAGACAUGUUUUUUUUUUUAAAGAUUUAUUUAUUUAUUUAUUUGAGAGAGAGAGCACAUGAGAGGCAGGAGGGUCAGAGGGAGAAGCAGACUCCCUGCCGAGCAGGAAGUCCAACGCGGGACUCGAUCCAGGGACUCCAGGAUCAUGACCUGAGCUGAAGGCAGUCGCUUAACCAACUGAGCCACCCAGGCGCCCGAGUUUAGACACGUUUUUAAAAAGCACCAUGGGGUGGCCCAAAAUGGAGGCCAGCCCCUGCUGGCGUUUCCUAAAACUCUGUGAGGAAUGGCCAGUGGAGGAGACCAAACGGGCCAGGCGUAGCACAGGCCUUUCUGGAGGGAGAGAAUACUCAAGAUUGUAGAGCCUGAGGCCUGUGAUCGGAUGUAUGAGAGUUUCACAUGGCUCCAUUCAAACUGUUAGAAACACAAGGACCCUUGCCCCAAAGACGUGAGCUUCACUGGCCUGUCCACAGAAGAGUACAAGCCGAUCCUGUCCACAGACAUCUUGAAAGAGUUUAAGGAAAUGAAUAAAGGAAUGUGGAAGAAACUGGGGGAGAAGUUUGCCCCCAGGAAUCCCAACGAGAAGCAGAAGGCAUGGGCUCAGUCCUUAUCUCGCCCACGCUCCUAAGCGUGGAGUCUUCUAGUUGCCAUCAUAAAUAAAACUGCCUGGUUCCCCUCCUCCCCCCAAAAAAGCUCCACAGGCCUGAAACCAGUGUAACAUCAUGUGUCAACUAUACUCAAAUUAAAAAUAAAUAAAUAAAUAAGUAGCUCCAUAGGUGAUUGUUAUACAUAACCAAAGUUGAGAAUUUUUAUCCUGGAUACAUAUAAAUUGUUGGGCAUAGAAGGAAACCUAGGUUUCGGGAAGUAGCUAGAGACUUCUUGAUCCCUUAGAGUUUUAGGGAUCUAAGGGAUUUAGAUUUAGUUUUUAGUUUAAUUUAAUGCAAGAUCUGUCCCCUUCCUGGCUUCCAACCUUAUAUGUGGGUAUAACCAUUUGGAAAUAUAAUCAGAGUCUGAGUUCCAAGGGAUCUAGUGGUUCUCUUCUCCCCCCCUGCCUCUUUUUUGAUGAAAUAUUGGCUAUCAUAGGGUUGGAAUAUGUUCAUCGAAGUAUACAAUUGGAAAAGGCACCUCCUGAAGUGGUAAGCUUGGAUUAUUAUUUAAUACUUUCAUGAAAAAACAAACUCUUUGUGUAAUGCUUUUGAUUUAUAGAUAUGAAUAAAUAAUAGUUAAACAACUGAACUUUAUGCUUCAAAUUAAACAAUAGAUUUGAUCAGAAAAAUGAUACUUUGAGUACUAUCAGUUUUGUAUCAUGCUGAGCAAAACAGGAAUUGCUAAAAUUUGGGUUUCUUAAAAAAUAAAAC